rnacentral:rRNA from 1 species
CUACGGGAGGCUGCAGUGGGGAAUAUUGCACAAUGGAGGAAACUCUGAUGCAGCAACGCCGCGUGGAGGAUGACACUUUUCGGAGCGUAAACUCCUUUUAUAUAGGAAGAUAAUGACGGUACUAUAUGAAUAAGCACCGGCUAACUCCGUGCCAGCAGCCGCGGUAAUACGGAGGGUGCAAGCGUUACUCGGAAUCACUGGGCGUAAAGAGCGUGUAGGCGGGUUAAUAAGUCAGAAGUGAAAUCCUAUGGCUCAACCAUAGAACUGCUUUUGAAACUGUUAACCUAGAGUGUGGGAGAGGUAGAUGGAAUUUCUGGUGUAGGGGUAAAAUCCGUAGAGAUCAGAAGGAAUACCGAUUGCGAAGGCGAUCUACUGGAACAUAACUGACGCUGAGACGCGAAAGCGUGGGGAGCAAACAGGAUUAGAUACCCUUGUAGUC